rnacentral:rRNA from 1 species
CCCGAACCGGUUGACGUUGAAAAGUCUUCGGAUGAACUGUGGAUAGGGGUGAAAGGCCAAUCAAACUCCGUGAUAGCUGGUUCUCCCCGAAAUGCAUUUAGGUGCAGCGUUGCGUGGUUCUUGUUGGAGGUAGAGCACUGGAUGGUCUAGGGGGCUUAUCGGCUUACCGAAAUCAGCCAAACUCCGAAUGCUGGCAAGCGUAGCGUGGCAGUGAGACGGCGGGGGAUAAGCUUCGUCGUCGAGAGGGAAACAGCCCAGAUCAUCAGCUAAGGCCCCUAAGUGGUGACUCAGUGGGAAAGGAUGUGGAGUUGCGUAGACAACCAGGAGGUUGGCUUGGAAGCAGCCAUCCUUGAAAGAGUGCGUAAUAGCUCACUGGUCAAGUGAUUCCGCGCCGAUAAUGUAGCGGGGCUUAAGUUAUCCGCCGAAGCUGUGGCAACCUGUGUGGUUGGGUAGGGGAGCGUCGUGUCAGUGGUGAAGCUGCCGGGUGACUGUGUGGUGGAGUUGAUGCGAGUGAGAAUGCAGGCAUGAGUAACGAAUGAUAUGUGGAAAACAUAUCCGCCGGAUGACUAAGGGUUCCUGGGUUAAGCUAAUCUUCCCAGGGUGAGUCGGGACCUAAGGCGAGGCCGACAGGCGUAGUCGAUGGGUAACCAGUUGAUAUUCUGGUACCGGCUUGUCACCGUCCGUGUCGAGGUGUGUGAUGCUAAGCAUGUGAGCUUGUCUUGGGAGUGUUUUUGAUGCUUCUGGGGUGGGUGAGUGUGUGAACCGAUCAUGUAGUAGGCAAGCUGCGGAGGGACGCAGUGAGGUAGCUCAUCCCCGGUGAUGGUUGUCCGGGGCUAAGUGUGUGGACUGUCUGGUAGGUAAAUCCGCUGGGCGUGAAGGUUGAGGCAUGAUGGGGAGCCCACGGUUGUGGGUGAGUGAGUGAUCCUGUACUGUCGAGAAAAGCUUCGUGAGCGAGGUGGCGGGUCCGCCCGUACCCUAAACCGACACUGGUGGAUAGGUAGAGUAUACCGAGGCGAUCGAGUGAAUCGUGGUGAAGGAACUCGGCAAAAUGCCCCCGUAACUUUGGGAUAAGGGGGACCUGAGCUGUCGUGCACCCGUGCGGUGUGGUGGCGGUGAGGGGCGCAGAGUCCAGGGGGAAACGACUGUUUACCAAAAACACAGGUCCGUGCGAAGUCGUAAGACGAUGUAUACGGACUGACUCCUGCCCGGUGCUGGAAGGUUAAGAGGAGGUGUGCAAGCACCGAAUUGAAGCCCCAGUAAACGGCGGCCGUAACGAUAACGGUCCUAAG